GCGGAUGUGGUGAAAUUGGUAUACACGCCAGACUUAGGAUCUGGUGCCUUACGGUGUGGAAGUUCGAGUCUUCUCAUCCGCACCA
rnacentral:tRNA from 2 species